AGCCCUUGAUUAUAUCAAAGGUGUAACCUGCCCAAUGACUAUUGAUUUAGUAAAAUUAAAAGUUUUAUAAAAAAGUUUAAAGGACGCAGUAUCCUGACUGUGAUAAUGUAGCAUAAUCACUCGCCAUUUAAUUGANGGAUAGUAUGAAUGGUUGAACNAAUAUUACACUGUCUCGAGUAGGAAAUAUAUGAAAUUGAAAUAAUAGUAAAGAUGCUAUUUAAAACUGUAAGACGAAAAGACCCUAUAGAGCUUAACUAUAACCUCUUGUGAUAAAGAUAGGACAAUAAAACCUAGUAAGAGAGAGGUUGGUAGUUUAGUUGGGGCGACUAUCUUCUAAAACCAACGAAGACAAGCAAUGUUAAUACUUUAAUUUAUUGUAAAAUUAAUUCAUUUAACAAUUAUGAAAAUAGGCUAUAAUGACCCGUUAAUAGAUUAUAGUGUUGUUAACGAUCAAUAAAUAAAAGCUACCUUAGGGAUAACAGGAUAAUUUCGUUUUAGAGAUCUUAUCGAAAACGAAGUUUGUCACCUCUAUGUUGAAUUAAGAUAUCCAGAUGGUGCAGAAGCUAUCAAGGGUAGGUCUGUUCGACCUAUAAAAUCUU
rnacentral:rRNA from 1 species